UAGGGAAUCUUCCGCAAUGGGCGAAAGCCUGACGGAGCAACGCCGCGUGAGUGAUGAAGGUCUUCGGAUCGUAAAACUCUGUUAUUAGGGAAGAACAAAUGUGUAAGUAACUAUGCACGUCUUGACGGUACCUAAUCAGAAAGCCACGGCUAACUACGUGCCAGCAGCCGCGGUAAUACGUAGGUGGCAAGCGUUAUCCGGAAUUAUUGGGAGUAAAGCGCGCGUAGGCGGUUUUUUAAGUCUGAUGUGAAAGCCCACGGCUCAACCGUGGAGGGUCAUUGGAAACUGGAAAACUUGAGUGCAGAAGAGGAAAGUGGAAGUCCAUGUGUAGCGGUGAAAUGCGCAGAGAUAUGGAGGAACACCAGUGGCGAAGGCGACUUUCUGGUCUGUAACUGACGCUGAUGUGCGAAAGCGUGGGGAUCAAACAGG
rnacentral:rRNA from 1 species